UGAACGCUGGCGGCGUGCCUAAUACAUGCAAGUCGAGCGAACAGAUGAGGAGCUUGCUCCUCUGACAUUAGCGGCGGACGGGUGAGUAACACGUGGAUAACCUACCUAUAAGACUGGGAUAACUUCGGGAAACCGGAGCUAAUACCGGAUAAUAUAUUGAACCGCAUGGUUCAAUAGUGAAAGACGGUUUUGCUGUCACUUAUAGAUGGAUCCGCGCCGCAUUAGCUAGUUGGUAAGGUAACGGCUUACCAAGGCAACGAUGCGUAGCCGACCUGAGAGGGUGAUCGGCCACACUGGAACUGAGACACGGUCCAGACUCCUACGGGAGGCAGCAGUAGGGAAUCUUCCGCAAUGGGCGAAAGCCUGACGGAGCAACGCCGCGUGAGUGAUGAAGGUCUUCGGAUCGUAAAACUCUGUUAUUAGGGAAGAACAAAUGUGUAAGUAACUAUGCACGUCUUGACGGUACCUAAUCAGAAAGCCACGGCUAACUACGUG
rnacentral:rRNA from 1 species